UCCCUUUACAUAAAAACUGUAAGCAAAAUUAAAAAGACAAAAUUUUAAAAGCAAAUAAGCUGGGAGGCUUAUGCAGAAAUAUGAGAGUAUUCUUUUCUAAAAGACAAUCAAAAAGAAAAAUAGCUGCACAAAAGUAAAUAGCUAAUAGAAAUACAUUAAAUAAGUCAAAAGUUAACAUUCGAAAAUUUAAAAUGAGUCAUUUUUAGCAUAAUUGUCAAUGCUGGCAAGUGUACAGUAAUACAGACACUCUCAUACACUGAUGAGAGGAAUAGAAAUUGACACAACCCUUCUAGUCUGCGAGGUAAGAUGUAUCAAGAGUCUUUAAAAUAUUUAUACACUUACACAGUCUUUCUUUUUCUAGGAAUCUAUCCUAAGAAUAGGGUCAGAAAUUUUUCUGGUUAUUUACCUCUAUGUAAUAAAUUUUCCAAAAUUUAGUUGCUUAAAAAAAUAGCGACCCAUGUUUAGCUCACAAAUAUAUGAACUGUGCAGAGGUCUGCAAGAAAGACUCAUUUCUGUUCCAUGGAGCAUCAGCCAGAGCAGGUAUGGCAAGAAAAGCCUCUGCUAAGGCUGAUAAAUUGGGGCCAGCUGAGAGCUCUGAUGGCCUGAGGUCCUCAGUUCUCUCUGUGUGGGUUUCUCCACAUACGCCACACCCCAGACUGCUUGGGCUUCCUCACAGCAUGGAGGCUGGACUCCAAAAUUGAGAGUCCCAAGUGAUGGGAAGUGCCUUCUGCCAAUUUCUUUUCUUUUUUUUAAUUACUUAUUUUUUCAUUUUAAAAAAAAUUUAUUGAAGUAUAGUUGAUUUACAAGACUGUGAUAAUUUCUGCUGUACAACAGAGAUUCAGUUGUACAUGUACACACAUCCAUUCUCUUGCCCAUUCUUUUCCCACAUAGAUUAUCACAGAAUAUUUUUUUACAGAAUAAAAUGCAUAUAUUUAAACACAAUUACAUUCAAACAGAUUGUUACAUCAUGGAUCUUAAGAAACAGAUUAAGUAUCUCCCUCUGGAGAAGUGGAAUGGAAAAUAUGCUGAGACAAAUAGGAAAUUUAUUCUAUGCUUUGUCCCAUUUUGUAUGGCUUUCAUCUUUACUAUUUAGUAUUAUUACAUUUCAAUUUUUCUUUAAAAAUUAGCAUUGCAUUAAAAUUGUGUAUAUUAUGCAACUAAAAUUUAUAAAGAAAGCCUUAUAUACAAUUAAAUAUUUUAUAUAGCAGAAUAAAAAGAAUAACUUAACUGGUAAGAAUAACAAAAAUAACACACCCUCUGAAAAUAAUUAAAAUAUAAAAUACAUAAAUUGGUUAAAAAACAGUGUAACUGUAUAAAUAUGUCCUCACAAUUUGUUACAUCUUAUUGAUUCUUCAAUAAAGGCAUUACACCAUUCUAGGUGAUGUGAUAAACAAGACAUUAUAGACCUUACAUUGUACCAUGGAGAGAAAUGGUUAUUAAUAAUACAAUUGUAGAACUGUAUUAUUUAAUUUUACAGUUGCAUUAUUUAAUUAUAAUUAUCAUAAAUUCUUUGAUGGAGAGGAAAUCAGAAUCAGAUCUAAGAAGACUUUAGCAUUCCAAGAAUGAUGUCAAAUGACCUGCUUCAUGGUGGAUUAUGUACUUAUUUACUAUGAGAUAUAUUUCUUCUCCAGAGAUUCCUUGCUUAUCAAUAGAUUUUUGGUUUGAUAUGAGUCUAUAUGUAUAUGAGAUUGUCUUAGGUUGUUCUCUGAAUUGCAAGUUCAUCUCCAGUGUUCUGCAUUUGUACCCACCUCUUCUCAUGAUUUCUGAUUCUGGUGAUAUAAUUGUUCAUGGAUGAUCUCAUAUCUUUACUGAAUAUAUACCUUUACUGUAUAUGGUGAGCCUUGUCAUUUGUGGGAUUUUUGUUUCCUGUUGCUGUCUUUUCUGCCUAGAGAAGUUCCUUUAGGAUUUGUUGUAAGGCUGGUUUAGUAUUGCUGAAUUCUCUCAGCUUUUGCUUAUCUGUGAAGGUUUUGAUUUCUCCUUCAAAUCUGAAUGAGAGCUUUGCUGGGUAAAGUAAUCUUGGUUGGAGGUUUUUUCCUUUCAUCACCUUAAGUAUAUCAUGCCACUCCCUUCUGGUCUGCAGAGUUUCUGCUGAAAAAUCUGCUGAUAACCUUAUCGGGGUUCCCUUGUAUGUUGUUUCUUUUCCCUAGCUGCUUUCAAGAUUUUCUCUUUGUCUUUAAUUUUGGUUAGUUUGAUUAAUAUAUGUCUUGGUGUAUUCCUCCUUGGGUUUAUUUUAUAUGGUACUUGUUGUGCUUCCUGGAUUUGAGUGAGUGGUUCCUUUCCCAUGUUAGGGAAGUUUUUGGCUAUUAUCUCUUGGAAUAUUUUUUCUGUCCCUUUCUCUCUCUCUUCUCCUUCUGGCACCCCUAUAAAAUGGAUGUCGGUGCACUUAAUGUUGUCCCAGAGUUCUCUAAGACUCUCUUCAUUUGUUUUCAAUCUUUUUUCUCUUUUCUGUUUUGCAUCCGUCAUUUCCACAAAUCUGUCCUCCACCUCGCUUAUUCGUUGUUCUGCCUCCUGUAUUCUGCUGUUGGCUGCUUCUAGCGAAUUUUUUAUUUCGGUUAUUGUACUUUGCAUCUCUUCUUGUUUAAGUUUUAUAUCUUGUAUCUCUUUGCUCAGUGUUUCCUGUAAGUUAUCCAUCUUUGCCUCCAGUUUAUUUCCAAUGUCUUACAUCAUCUUCAGCAUCAACAGUCUAAAGUCUUUUUCCUGGAGGCUGAGAAUCUCCUCAUGGAUUAGCUGAUUUUCUGGGGUUUUUUCUUUCUCCCUCAUCUGAGUUACAGUUCUCUGUCUUCAUUUUUAUAGGUUUUUGGUGUGGUGACCUUUUUACAGAUAAUAGAGUUGUAGCUUCUAUUACUUCUGGCACCUGCCCCCCUUGUGGCUAAAGUCCCUAUGGGGGCUUGCUGUAGGCUUCCUGAUGGAAGGGGUGAUGCCUGCCCACUGGUAGGUAGAGCUGAUUCUAAUCCCUCUUGUGGGUGGGGCUCAGUCUCUGGAUGUGAUUAGAGGCAGCUGUGUGCCUGGAGGGUCUUUAGGUAGACUGUUUACUGAGGGGCAGGGCAGUGAUCCCACCUGGACUGUUGUUUGCCCUGGGGCUUCUCAGCACUGACUGACAGGUGGGGCCAGAUUUUCCCAAAAUGGCCACCUCCAUAGAAAGGCAGCUGCUGAAUAUUCCUGAGAGCUUUGCCUUCAAUGUCCCUCCCUCACAAGCCACAUUCACCCCUGUUUUCCCAUGAUGUCCUCCAAGAACUGCAGUCAGGUUUGACCCAGAUUCCCAUGGAGACCUUGCUUUGCCCUGGGACUCAGUGCAUGUGAAAGUCCAUGUGCGCCUUUUAAGAAUGGGGUCUCCAUUUCCCCCAGUCCUGUGGAGCUCCUGCACACAAGCCCACUGGCCUUCAGUGCCAGAUGCUCCAGGGGCUCUUUCUCCCAGUGCCAGAUCCCAGCAUGUGAGAGUUUGAUGUGGGGCUCAGAACUCUCACUCCUGUAGGUGAGUCUCUGUGAACCAGUUACUUUCCAGUCUGUGGAGCUUCCCACCCGGGAGGUGUGGGGUUGUUUGUAUCAUGAAAUCACCCCUCCUACCUCUUGAUGUGGCCUCCUCUUUUUCUUCUGGAGUAGGGUAUCUUUUUUAAGGUUUCCAGUCCAUUUGGGUAGAGAUUGCUCAGCUUUUAGUUGUGAAUUUUGUUGUUUUUAGGAGAGAAGUUGAGCUCCAGUCCUUCUAUUCUGCCAUCUUAAUCCUCUCUCCCCUUCUGCCAGUUUCUUAAGGCUUAGACCCAGGAACCAUCUUGGUGUCCUACGCAAGAUUUAAACAGAGGGCCCUAAACCCCACCUCCAGAUCAAAGAAUUAUCAAAGAAUUCAGGGGCUAUGUUUUAAAACAGCAACAGAAAUAUUAAUACAAAUAUAUGUUGUAAGAUAUUUUCUAGGGUCUUAUACAUGCUAACUAGUAAAAAUAUGAAGAGUCAACAUUAGGGGGAUAGUUAAAUAAGUUAUGAUAUAUUUAACCAGUUGGAUUAAAUCAUUAAAAAUCAUGUUUAUAAAGAGUUUCAAAGAUAGGUCAAAAAGAGUUUCAAAUAUCAAGAAAAAUGCUUAUAUUAUUAUGAACAAAAUCUUCAUACAACUAUGUAAAAAAGAUGUAAUAGAUCUUUGUAACGACAAAUUAUCAUUGGUUUUUAUUUUUUGCUUUCUUUUAGUAUUUCCCUAACAUCCUAUAAUGGGCAUAUUUACUUUGAGAUAAAUGUUGGAUUUAAUAAAUUGGGAAGCAGCCCCAAAUAAGUAUUUGUUUUAUAUGUGGUCUAUUGGCCAAUCCUGGGCCCUGGAUUAGAGCAGCUUGGAAUCUGUCCUUAGCCUGGCCUGUAAUGGGUGUCCUAGUACUGUACCUGCUCUUAGUUUUAAGCUUGCUUGGACUUCUGCCUUGCAUGCUACCUGACUGUGUAAUUCACUCUUUGUAUUUAUUGACCUCAAAGUCUCAAAUAUAUAGUAACAUGGCUGUGUUUUGUGAAAAGACCUCCCCUGCCUGGGGCCAAAUCAGGGCUGUGGUGGCUGAAAGGGUAUGUCAAAUAAUCACCAGGCACUCACCCUCCCCUCCCCCUUAGCAAUCACUGGCCACGCUCUCCAAAUGGAGAUCUGACACUUGGCAUACCAGAAAGAACAGGGCCUAUUUGCCCAUACUUCCCUUUCCCCUUCUAGACCUCGGCUCACUCUAGUCUCUCCGCCUAAAAAUACCCUUUCUCUAUCAUCCUCAUCCACUGAUAGCCUGGUCACUUUUCAAGUAAAAUGACAAAAUUAUCCAAGAGAUGCCCUACUCUGAGCCCUUUUCCUCUGAAUGCUUAUAGCUCCUUAUUUCCACCAUUAUUAUAAUACUUAAUACUUUAAUCACAAGCUAAAUCUUUCAUGUUGCUUCCCUGACACCCCACACUUAACCCCACAUGGAACUAUGCUGUGUCCUUUCUGCCAGCUCCGAUGGAACUCCAUCCUGACCCCUCUGAUUGCACAUCACAUUUGUAGGAUUAUCUGUUGAUUGUUCAGGUGAACAAUGAGCCCCACAAAACUUAUCAGCUUCCUCACAACAGGAACUGUCUUCAUCGCUGUAUCUGUAGUAGACACUGGCUUCCUCCCAAACUGUUUGCAAUCUGCUUUCUUUGCCACAGGUCACGAUAAAGAUUAAAAAGUCAAAUGCAUACAACCACUGUGGAAAAUAGUAUAGAGGUUCCUCAUAAGACUAAAUCAAGAAUUACCAUAUGAUCCAGCAAGUCCACUCCUGGGCCUCUUUCCAGAAAAAACUAUCAUUCCAAAAGACACAUGCACCCAUAUGUUUAUAGCAGAACUAAAACAACGUAAAUAUCCAUUAACAGAGGAAUGGAUUAAGAAGGUAUGGUAUGUAUACACAGUGGAAUACUACUCAGCCAUAAAAAAAACCAAAAUAAUGCCAUUGGUAGCAACAUGCAUGCAACUAGAGAUUCUCAUUCUAAGAGCAGUCAGAAAGAAAAAGACAAAUCCAUAUUAUAUCACUUACAAGUGGAAUCUAAAAUAUGGCACAAAUGAACCUAUCUUAGACUCACAGACUCAGACAUGGAGAACAGACUUAUGGUGGCUGAGGGCAGGAAGGAGUGGGAUGGACUGGGAGUUUGGGGCUAGUAGAUGCAAAUUAUUACAUUUGGAAUGGAUAAGCAAUGAGGUCCUACUCUACAGUGCAGGGAACUAUAUCCAGGUUCUUGGGAUAGACCAUGAUGGAAGAUAACAUAAGAAAGGGAAUGUAUACAUAUAUAUAUGUAUGACUGGGUCACUUUUCUUUACAGUGGAAAUUGGUACAACAUUGUAAAUCAAUUAUAUUUUAAUUUUAAAAAUAUGAAAAAAAGAAAGGCAAAUGCUUGUGUUGCCAGCUUUUCCUAGCAGAAAGGAGUUACGCUCUAGGAGACAUGAAAGUUUGCUGUGAGGAUUUUUUUUUAAAGAAUAUUCUUCUGUGUACUAGCCCUUUUCCUUUCCCUCUUCUUCCUACCUUGAGUGACAUCAUAAUAGCUGGAGGACAGUGGUCAUACAGUAAGCA
rnacentral:lncRNA from 1 species